ACACCCCUAGAGGUUCUGCAGGUGUGGCUUCUGUGUCCCAUGUGCAUCAGUAGGUAGUUGAGAAGACACAGGCUAUGUCUACACUCAGUGUUCUCACUUGUAAACAUCUGAAUGAUUUAGUAGCCUAACAUU